GACCCGACUGCUAUCGGAUUGAGAUUAAGCCAUGCGAGUUGAACAUUUUUUAACUAUGUGAAAAGUGUAGCAUACGGCUCAGUAACACGUAGUCAACCUACCCUGAAGUCACAAAUAACCCCGGGAAACUGGGAUUAAUAGGUGAUAUGUCAUUUUUUCUGGAAGGGUUUAUGAUUUAAACGAUUAUCAAGCUUGUUUGAUUAAUUGCUUUAGGAUGGGACUGCGACCGAUCAGGUUGUUGGUGGGGUAAUGGCCUACCAAGCCGAUAACCGGUGCGGGCUUUGAGAGAAGGAGCCCGGAGAUGGACACUGAGAAAAGGGUCCAGGCCCUACGGGGCGCAGCAGGCGCGAAAACUUCGCAAUGUGCGAAAGCACGACGAGGUUAGUCCGAGUGUCAUUUGCUGAAUUUGACUUUUAAUAAAUGUAAGUAGUUUAUGGAAUAAGGGGAAGGGAAAGUCUGGUGUCAGCCGCCGCGGUAAUACCAGCUCCCCGAGUGGUUGGGACGAUUAUUGGGCCUAAAGCAUCCGUAGCCUGUUUUGUAGGUCUCAUGUUAAAUCCAUUCGCUUAACGAAUGGUCUGCAUGAGAUACCGCAUUGCUAGGAGGCGGGAGACGUGAACGGUAUUCCAUGGGUAGGGGUAAAAUCCUCUGAACCAUGGAAGACCACCAGUGGCGAAGGCGGUUCACGAGGACGCGCUCGACGGUGAGGGAUGAAAGCUGGGGUAGCGAACCGGAUUAGAUACCCGGGUAGUCCCAGCUGUAAACGAUGCAAGCUAGGUGAUGGAUUAGCCAUGUGUUAAUCCAGUGCCGCAGGGAAGCCGUUAAGCUUGCCGCCUGGGGAGUACGGUCGCAAGGCUGAAACUUAAAGGAAUUGGCGGGGGAGCACCACAAGGAGUGAAGCCUGCGGUUCAAUUGGAUUCAACGC
rnacentral:rRNA from 1 species